rnacentral:rRNA from 1 species
GACGAACGCUGGCGGCGUGCCUAAUACAUGCAAGUUGAGCGCUGAAGGUUGGUACUUGUACCAACUGGAUGAGCAGCGAACGGGUGAGUAACGCGUGGGGAAUCUGCCUUUGAGCGGGGGACAACAUUUGGAAACGAAUGCUAAUACCGCAUAAAAACUUUAAACACAAGUUUUAAGUUUGAAAGAUGCAAUUGCAUCACUCAAAGAUGAUCCCGCGUUGUAUUAGCUAGUUGGUGAGGUAAAGGCUCACCAAGGCGAUGAUACAUAGCCGACCUGAGAGGGUGAUCGGCCACAUUGGGACGGAGACACGGCCCAAACUCCUACGGGAGGCAGCAGUAGGGAAUCUUCGGCAAUGGACGAAAGUCUGACCGAGCAACGCCGCGUGAGUGAAGAAGGUUUUCGGAUCGUAAAACUCUGUUGGUAGAGAAGAACGUUGGUGAGAGUGGAAAGCUCAUCGAGUGACGGUAACUACCCAGAAAGGGACGGCUAACUACGUG